GACGAACGCUGGCGGCGUGCUUAACACAUGCAAGUCGAACGGUGAACCCGCUUCGGUGGGGGAUCAGUGGCGAACGGGUGAGUAACACGUGGGCAACCUGCCCCCGGCUCUGGGAUAACUCCAAGAAAUUGGGGCUAAUACCGGAUAUGACCGCUGACCGCAUGGUCUGGUGGUGGAAAGAUUUAUCGGCUGGGGAUGGGCCCGCGGCCUAUCAGCUUGUUGGUGGGGUAGUGGCCUACCAAGGCGACGACGGGUAGCCGGCCUGAGAGGGUGACCGGCCACACUGGGACUGAGACACGGCCCAGGCUCCUACGGGAGGCAGCAGUGGGGAAUAUUGCGCAAUGGGCGGAAGCCUGACGCAGCGACGCCGCGUGGGGGAUGACGGCCUUCGGGUUGUAAACCUCUUUCAGCAGGGACGAAGCCGUGAGGUGACGGUACCUGCAGAAGAAGCACCGGCCAACUACGUGCCAGCAGCCGCGGUAAUACGUAGGGUGCAAGCGUUGUCCGGAAUUAUUGGGCGUAAAGAGCUCGUAGGCGGUUUGUUGCGUCGGCUGUGAAAUCCCGAGGCUCAACCUCGGGUCUGCAGUCGAUACGAGCAAACUAGAGUGUUGCAGGGGAGACUGGAAUUCCUGGUGUAGCGGUGAAAUGCGCAGAUAUCAGGAGGAACACCGGUGGCGAAGGCGGGUCUCUGGGCAGCAACUGACGCUGAGGAGCGAAAGCGUGGGGAGCGAACAGGAUUAGAUACCCUGGUAGUCCACGCCGUAAACGUUGGGCGCUAGGUGUGGGGCUCAUUCCACGAGUUCCGUGCCGCAGCUAACGCAUU
rnacentral:rRNA from 1 species